rnacentral:rRNA from 1 species
CCUACGGGCGGCAGCAGUGAGGAAUAUUGGUCAAUGGACGAGAGUCUGAACCAGCCAAGUAGCGUGAAGGAUGACUGCCCUAUGGGUUGUAAACUUCUUUUAUAUGGGAAUAAAAUGUUCCACGUGUGGGAUUUUGUAUGUACCAUAUGAAUAAGGAUCGGCUAACUCCGUGCCAGCAGCCGCGGUAAUACGGAGGAUCCGAGCGUUAUCCGGAUUUAUUGGGUUUAAAGGGAGCGUAGGUGGAUUGUUAAGUCAGUUGUGAAAGUUUGCGGCGCAACCGUAAAAUUGCAGUUGAAACUGGCAGUCUUGAGUACAGUAGAGGUGGGCGGAAUUCGUGGUGUAGCGGUGAAAUGCUUAGAUAUCACGAAGAACUCCGAUUGCGAAGGCAGUUCACUGGACUGCAACUGACACUGAGGCUCGAAAGUGUGGGUAUCAAACAGGAUUAGAUACCCGGGUAGUC